AAUAGAUACCCGGGUAGUCCUUGCCGUAAACUAUGUAUACUUGGUGUAACUGGACUCAACCCCGGUUGUGCCGUAGCUAACGCGUUAAGUAUACCGCCUGGGGAGUACAGUCGCAAGGCUGAAACUCAAAAGAAUUGACGGGGACCCGCACAAGCAGUGGAGCAUGUGGUUUAAUUCGAUGCAACGCGAAGAACCUUACCCAGACUUGACAUGCAGUGGACAGUCCUAGAAAUAGGAUCUCCCUUCGGGGCCGCUGCACAGGUGCUGCAUGGCUGUCGUCAGCUCGUGCCGUGAGGUGUUGGGUUAAGUCCCGCAACGAGCGCAACCCUUAUCAUUAGUUGCCAACACGUAAAGGUGGGAACUCUAGUGAGACUGCCUGGAUUAACCAGGAGGAAGGUGAGGAUGACGUCAAGUCCGCAUGGCCCUUAUGUCUGGGGCUACACACGUGCUACAAUGGUCGGUACAAAAGGCAGCAGAACCGUGAGGUGAAGCAAAUCCCGAAAGCCGGCCCCAGUUCAGA
rnacentral:rRNA from 1 species